rnacentral:rRNA from 1 species
ACGGGUGAGUACGCGUGGGUGACCUGCCUUCGAGUGGGGGAUAACGUUUCGAAAGGAACCGCGUAGUACCGCAUGACAUCCUGCCUUUUAACAGGCGGUAGAUCAAAGCCGGGGAUCGCAAGACCUGGCGCUUGAAGAGGGGCCCGUGUCCGAUUAGCUAGUUGGUGGGGUAACGGUUCACCAAGGCAACGAUCGGUAGCCGGCCUGAGAGGGCGGACGGCCACAGUGGGACUGAGACAGGUCCAAGACUCAUAGGAGCAAGUAGGAAUUGUCGCAAAUGGGCGCAAGCCUGACGACGCAACGCCGCGUGGAGGAUGAAGACCUUCGGGUACGUAAACUUCCUUUCGAUACGAGACGAAUGGCCUCCGGGUGAACAAUC